rnacentral:rRNA from 1 species
GACGAACGCUGGCGGCGUGCUUAACACAUGCAAGUCGAACGGAAAGGCCCUGCUUUUGUGGGGUGCUCGAGUGGCGAACGGGUGAGUAACACGUGUGUAACCUGCCCUUGACUUUGGGAUAACUUCAGGAAACUGGGGCUAAUACCGGAUAGGAGCUCCUGCUGCAUGGUGGGGGUUGGAAAGUUUCGGCGGGUGGGGAUGGACUCGCGGCUUAUCAGCUUGUUGGUGGGGUAGUGGCUUACCAAGGCUUUGACGGGUAGCCGGCCUGAGAGGGUGAACGGCCACAUUGGGACUGAGAUACGGACCAGACGCCUACGGGAGGCAGCAGUGGGGAAUAUUGCACAAUGGGCGGAAGCCUGAUGCAGCAACGCCGCGUGCGGGAUGACGGCCUUCGGGUUGUAAACCGCUUUCGCCUGUGACGAAGCGUGAGUGACGGUAAUGGGUAAAGAAGCACCGGCUAACUACGUG